UCCUGCAGCAUGGCUUCAUUAGUCGAGGAAACUGAGGUGGAUGUUUCAGAGGUUAGAUAUUUUCAUCAGUCUUCAUCAGUUUGUGUCUGUAGUCGCCAUCAAUAUAAAGAUCCAGAAGAUCAGAACUGAAGCUACAAUCAUCAGAGAUCCAACAGCAACACAACAGAUCAGAAUGAAGAUG